AACACAGUAGUAAAAAUGGUAUGUUAGUAUGGUCUUCAAUCCUUGAUUUAUUUCGUGUCUAAAGCAGGUUGAGUGAUUUAUGGGGCUGAAUGAUGUGCGAGAUCUUGAUUGAUAAUCUUGGAUUCCUGCAUAGCAUGGCUGGAGUUUCCAUCUCUGAUAAGACUCCAGUUCAGGAAUGAUUUGCGUGGGGUCACAUGCAUACCCCAGUAAAUCUGCAAUGUUCAAGAAAAAUGGUCAAGGAUUAAUUUGAG
rnacentral:lncRNA from 1 species